rnacentral:tRNA from 1 species
GUAAUAUUAUAUAUAUGAUUUUGAAAAUCAUUUUAGGUAUUUAAAAUUUACCAUAUUACU